rnacentral:rRNA from 1 species
UACGUAGGUGGCAAGCGUUGUCCGGAAUUAUUGGGCGUAAAGCGCGCGCAGGCGGCUUCUUAAGUUUGAUGUGAAAUCUCGGGGCUCAACCCCGAGCGGCCAUUGGAAACUGGGAAGCUUGAGUACAGAAGAGGAGAGUGGAAUUCCACGUGUAGCGGUGAAAUGCGUAGAUAUGUGGAGGAACACCAGUGGCGAAGGCGACUCUCUGGUCUGUAACUGACGCUGAGGCGCGAAAGCGUGGGGAGCAAACAGG